rnacentral:rRNA from 1 species
AUUGAACGCUGGCGGCAGGCCUAACACAUGCAAGUCGAACGAGUGGCGGACGGGUGAGUAAUGUCUGGGAAACUGCCUGAUGGAGGGGGAUAACUACUGGAAACGGUAGCUAAUAACGCAUACCAUCAGAUGUGCCCAGAUGGGAUGAGCUAGUUGGUGGGGUAACGGCUCACCAGGGCGACGAUCGCUAGCUGGGCUGAGAGGAGGACCAGCAACACUGGAACGGAGACACGGUCCAGACGCCUACGGAAGGCAGCAGUGGGGAAUAUCGCACAAUGGGGGAAAGCCUGAUGCAGCCAGGCGGCGGGUAUGAAGAAGGCCUUCGGGUUGUAAAGUACUUUCAGCGGGGAGGCGUUACCCGAAGAAGAAGCACCGGCUAACUCCGUGCCAGCAGCCGCGGUAAUAC